rnacentral:misc_RNA from 1 species
AACGGUCUAUACCUGCGGUACCUGCGGAGGGAUCAUUACCGAGUUCUAGGGGUCUCCGGACCUCUUCUCUCACACCCUAUGUGUAUCUACCUCUGUUGCUUUGGCGGGCCGCGGUCCUCCGCGGCCGGCCCCCUAACCGGGGCUGGCCAGCGCCCGCCAGAGGACUACCAAACUCCAGUCAGUAAACGUAGCUGUCUGAUCAAAAGUUUAAUAAACUAAAACUUUUAACAACGGAUCUCU